AUUGAACGCUGGCGGCAUGCCUUACACAUGCAAGUCGAACGGCAGCACGGGGCGACCUGGUGGCGAGUGGCGAACGGGUGAGUAAUGCAUCGGAACGUACCUUUCAGUGGGGGAUAACGUAGCGAAAGUUACGCUAAUACCGCAUAUUCUGUGAGCAGGAAAGCAGGGGAUCGCAAGACCUUGCGCUGAUUGAGCGGCCGAUGUCAGAUUAGCUAGUUGGUGAGGUAAAGGCUCACCAAGGCGACGAUCUGUAGCGGGUCUGAGAGGAUGAUCCGCCACACUGGGACGGAGACGCGGUCCAGACGCCUACGGGAGGCAGCAGUGGGGAAUUUUGGACAAUGGGGGCAACCCUGAUCCAGCCAGGCCGCGUGAGUGAAGAAGGCCUUCGGGUUGUAAAGCUCUUUCGGCCGGGAAGAAAUCGCACGGGCUAAUACCCUGUGUGGAUGACGGUACCGGAAUAAGAAGCACCGGCUAACUACGUGCCAGCAGCCGCAGUAAUAC
rnacentral:rRNA from 1 species